rnacentral:rRNA from 1 species
GUUAAGCGACUAAGCGUACACGGUGGAUGCCCUGGCAGUCAGAGGCGAUGAAGGACGUGCUAAUCUGCGAUAAGCGUCGGUAAGGUGAUAUGAACCGUUAUAACCGGCGAUUUCCGAAUGGGGAAACCCAGUGUGAUUCGUCACACUAUCAUUAACUGAAUCCAUAGGUUAAUGAGGCGAACCGGGGGAACUGAAACAUCUAAGUACCCCGAGGAAAAGAAAUCAACCGAGAUUCCCCCAGUAGCGGCGAGCGAACGGGGAGCAGCCCAGAGCCUGAAUCAGUGUGUGUGUUAGUGGAAGCGUCUGGAAAGGCGCGCGAUACAGGGUGACAGCCCCGUACACAAAAAUGCACAUGCUGUGAGCUCGAUGAGUAGGGCGGGACACGUGGUAUCCUGUCUGAAUAUGGGGGGACCAUCCUCCAAGGCUAAAUACUCCUGACUGACCGAUAGUGAACCAGUACCGUGAGGGAAAGGCGAAAAGAACCCCGGCGAGGGGAGUGAAAAAGAACCUGAAACCGUGUACGUACAAGCAGUGGGAGCACAGAGCAAUCUGUGUGACUGCGUACCUUUUGUAUAAUGGGUCAGCGACUUAUAUUCUGUAGCAAGGUUAACCGAAUAGGGGAGCCGAAGGGAAACCGAGUCUUAACUGGGCGUUAAGUUGCAGGGUAUAGACCCGAAACCCGGUGAUCUAGCCAUGGGCAGGUUGAAGGUUGGGUAACACUAACUGGAGGACCGAACCGACUAAUGUUGAAAAAUUAGCGGAUGACUUGUGGCUGGGGGUGAAAGGCCAAUCAAACCGGGAGAUAGCUGGUUCUCCCCGAAAGCUAUUUAGGU